GAUGAACGCUAGCGACAGGCUUAACACAUGCAAGUCGAGGGGCAGCACAGGUAGCAAUACCGGGUGGCGACCGGCGCACGGGUGAGUAACGCGUAUGCAACUUGCCUAUCAGAGGGGGAUAACCCGGCGAAAGUCGGACUAAUACCGCAUGAAGCAGGGGCCCCGCAUGGGGAUAUUUGCUAAAGAUUCAUCGCUGAUAGAUAGGCAUGCGUUCCAUUAGGCAGUUGGCGGGGUAACGGCCCACCAAACCGACGAUGGAUAGGGGUUCUGAGAGGAAGGUCCCCCACAUUGGUACUGAGACACGGACCAAACUCCUACGGGAGGCAGCAGUGAGGAAUAUUGGUCAAUGGGCGUAAGCCUGAACCAGCCAAGUCGCGUGAGGGAUGAAGGUUCUAUGGAUCGUAAACCUCUUUUAUAAGGGAAUAAAGUGCGGGACGUGUCCCGUUUUGUAUGUACCUUAUGAAUAAGGAUCGGCUAACUCCGUGCCAGCAGCCGCGGUAAUACGGAGGAUCCGAGCGUUAUCCGGAUUUAUUGGGUUUAAAGGGUGCGUAGGCGGCCUUUUAAGUCAGCGGUGAAAGUCUGUGGCUCAACCAUAGAAUUGCCGUUGAAACUGGGGGGCUUGAGUAUGUUUGAGGCAGGCGGAAUGCGUGGUGUAGCGGUGAAAUGCAUAGAUAUCACGCAGAACCCCGAUUGCGAAGGCAGCCUGCCAAGCCAUUACUGACGCUGAUGCACGAAAGCGUGGGGAUCAAACAGGAUUAGAUACCCUGGUAGUCCACGCAGUAAACGAUGAUCACUAGCUGUUUGCGAUACACUGUAAGCGGCACAGCGAAAGCGUUAAGUGAUCCACCUGGGGAGUACGCCGGCAACGGUGAAACUCAAAGGAAUUGACGGGGGCCCGCACAAGCGGAGGAACAUGUGGUUUAAUUCGAUGAUACGCGAGGAACCUUACCCGGGUUUGAACGCAUUCGGACCGAGGUGGAAACACCUUUUCUAGCAAUAGCCGUUUGCGAGGUGCUGCAUGGUUGUCGUCAGCUCGUGCCGUGAGGUGUCGGCUUAAGUGCCAUAACGAGCGCAACCCUUGCCACUAGUUACUAACAGGUAAAGCUGAGGACUCUGGUGGGACUGCCAGCGUAAGCUGCGAGGAAGGCGGGGAUGACGUCAAAUCAGCACGGCCCUUACAUCCGGGGCGACACACGUGUUACAAUGGCGUGGACAAAGGGAGGCCACCUGGUGACAGGGAGCGAAUCCCCAAACCACGCCUCAGUUCGGAUCGGAGUCUGCAACCCGACUCCGUGAAGCUGGAUUCGCUAGUAAUCGCGCAUCAGCCAUGGCGCGGUGAAUACGUUCCCGGGCCU
rnacentral:rRNA from 1 species